GAUGAGCUGGAAUAUGAGAUCAACAUACGGAAGGUCACCGGCCUCCAAGAAUAUUUAGGUGAUUAGCAGGCAGCGAGAUUCACGCGUCCGCCUCGGACUCCAUCAAACCUCUGUUCCUUAGGAAUGGACUGGUCAGGGGCCAGUCGUACAUACUUGGUCAUCACGAUAAUGAACCUUCCGAUCGCACGCAAGAUGGGGAAUUUCUUCAUUACCCGAGAGACUACGAGCUUCUUACGAUAAACUCUGCUCCAUGGAGUUAGUCAUAUGAGAUAAAUGGCCUACAUCUGCAAUUUUAAAAAUAAAAACACUCAGAACAG